CUAGCAGGUCACACUGGCCUGAAGCCACAGCACUCCGGGCUGUGAGCUCACCAAGCUCCAGGAAGCCAAACAGGGUCAGGCCUGGCUGGUCCCUGUGAGGGAGACCUCCCAGGCAAAACACAGGUGUUGCUGGU
rnacentral:rRNA from 1 species